rnacentral:rRNA from 1 species
AUUGAACGCUGGCGGCAGGCUUAACACAUGCAAGUCGAGCGAGCGGCGGACGGGUGAGUAAUGUCUGGGAAACUGCCUGAUGGAGGGGGAUAACUACUGGAAACGGUAGCUAAUACCGCAUACCAUCAGAUGUGCCCAGAUGGGAUUAGCUAGUAGGUGGGGUAACGGCUCACCUAGGCGACGAUCCCUAGCUGGUCUGAGAGGUUGACCGGCCACAAGGGAACUGGGAACCGGUCCCGACUCCUACGGGAGGCAGCAGUGGGGAAGAUUGGACAAUGGGCGCAAGCCUUAUGCAGCCAUGCCGCGUGUGUGAAGAAGGCCUUCGGGUUGUAAAGCACUUUCAGCGGGGAGGCGUUACUCGCAGAAGAAGCACCGGCUAACUCCGUGCCAGCAGCCGCGGUAAUUC